UUCUAUUUUAAACGUUGAAAUGUAUUAAAGACAGUUUGAAUUAUAAAAAAUUGACUUUCCAGUCUUGUUGGAGCAAACCUUUUUUUUAAAUUUAAUUAUUAUAUUAAAAAGUAUAGUUUCGGUUCUUUUUUACUUGUACGUCAUCACAAAGUUAAUUGGAUAAGGAUGUCCAUUAACAAUGUAACUUACGACGUAAUAGGAGAUAUGUGAUCAUUUCCUAGAAAGUCUUUUGUUUCCUUUAAGAAAAACAGAUACUUUGAAUGAAUAAUUGCACCACGGAAUUAGAAUCGAAUGCUGCUCAAAAACAAGGAUCUAACUUUAAUGCACCAUUGAGUGUUUGUAAAAAAACAAACGAGACCGAAAUUUUAAAUACACACAUAUUAGAAGCAUCUUCGACUUUACCUCAAACGUGCUUGUCAUGUGUCAGUCAACAUGUUGAUAAUGCCGGUAAAAUGUGGAGUCGUUUUACAGAUUUCAUAUCAAAAAGAUCACCGUCAGAAGACAAUGAAAGAGUAAACAAAAAUUCUCAAAAAACAAGCGAUACGCGUGAACAACUACCUUCAUCAUGUCACAAAUCAUCUCCAUCUUGUUAUCUCUUAUAUAAAAAUGUUGACCAAAUAGAGUGUUGUACACCAUCAAGUCUUCAAAUGCCAUUAGGAUUCAGUUUUAGUCCAGCAGGAUGGCUUUUACCUUAUCAUUUAGGCGUCUUGGACUGUCUAAAUUAUUUUAACAUUCUUACACCACAUGUUCCUUUGGCUGGAGCCUCUGCUGGUGCUAUAGCAAUAACAUGUGCUGCGGCUAAUAUCUCUAUUAAAGAGAGCAUGCGCUUAAUUUAUAAUGCUCAUGUUCUUAGUCAGAAUACUCAGCAAUCACGGACGUUACAUGUUAUUUUGGAAGAACAUUUAACCAAUACGUUACCUGAAAAUGCUCAUCAUCUUAUCAACUCUCGACCUUCUCCUAUAACCAUUGGUUACGCAACGGUGUGGCCCCGUAUAAAAGGUCACUUUCCACACCAAUUUGAAAGUCUUCAAGAUUUAAAAGAAUGCAUUAUUGCUUCUUGUAAUGUUCCUUUUUAUUUUUCUCGUUGGCCUACUGUUAAUUGUCGAGGAUAUGCCGCAGUAGAUGGAUAUUUUGCUUCAACCAAAACAUUUGGGUGUCCUAAAACAGGAGCUCAAAAAGAUAUAUUAGUCAUCCCUUUUCCUUCAUCCAAUAGUCGCUUUGGUUUUUCUCACGAAAAUUGUAUUUCCCCAGCGUUACAACAAUAUGAUAACUUUUUCUUACUCACUGAAAAUAAACAGUAUUUAGAUGUUUUUAAACAGUAUAUCAAAUCAAGUCAGAGUACAACGGAAUCUUUUUCUGACGAAGCUUUUAUCAGGAAGAUAACAUUAGUGCCUUCACCUCCCAAAAAAUCUAUGAAAUGUUCAACUAGUAUGUUUAAAACAUUUCGCCCAACGUCUCAUCCUUAUUUUAAGAAAACAAUAACUCAAAAUCCUAUAGAUCUAACCUAUUCAUUAGAGAACCGUCAUCUUGCCACACAACUUCCUAAAUUAGAACAUUCUGUUGGAACUCUAUUGAAAUCCGCUUUAGAUCCAAAAGAGUUUAGCAUAUUGUUAGGCAUAUUUCGUCUUGGUCAAGCAGAUUGUUAUCGAUGGCUUGUAAGAGAAGCAGUUAAAAAUAAAGAUUUUACACAUCUUGUGCAGCAUAUUGAAAAUUUAACUCCCUAAACAAAUAUUUAUUUCAACCUGUUUUACGUGAAACGUUGUCAUUUUUUGAUGCGUUUUAUUUCGUUACCCAUCAAACGAAAACAUAUUGUCAUGCGUCCUUAUGGUUUUGUCCCUUUAUGUUUGUUUUAAUCGGUUUUCAAAAAGUUAAAAACAAAAAGAAUAUGAAAAAUUUAUAAUUGAAACUAAAUAAAGAAACUUCAAGCAAAUGGAAGUCGUGGUGAAUGAUCGAUUUUUCCAUAUUACCCAAUAUACACACACAAGAAAGUUUUUUGAAACGCGCAGACGAGAGAAGUAAAAAAAUUGAAAAGAAUAGAAAGAUUUCAUAAAACUACUUAUCUGAUAUGAGUAUUUCCCUUUAUUUUGUAAAACAAAUAAAAUUUCAGUAAAAUGCGUUGUUCAAAGUUAAACUGUUAAUUUGUAACGGGAAUCAUGGGGUUUCGAUUGACAUGUUAACAUGGCCAUAUAAACACUUCCUUCCUCUUUUAAACUCUCUUCUAACUGUUGCUCAAUGGUAGUAUGCUGUGGAUGAGAAUAUUUAUAACGCUCUAUAACAGAUUUUAAUUCGUCAAAUACGAUUAAAUAAGCAUAUUUUAAUAAGCGAUAUUGAUUCAUGAAUCCAGUUAAAAUAUUUUUUAAAGCGGUUUGAAUGGUAGGACCUUCUCCUUGUAAUUCUUUAUGAAUUAAAGCCGUUGCUUGUUCAAUAGAUAAAGCUUUCUGUUCAAGUGUUACAAAGCGUGUGUGAAUUUCAUCAAUAAAUCGGAGAUAGUCUGAUUGAGGCACAAUGAGAGGUUGAGGGGUUACUUUAUCGGUUCCUAAUGUACGAUGAAACGCUGUGGAUAAAGCAUGAACCUGACGGCGCCAUUUACGUACAAUGGGUUGUUGAGCUUCGAUUUCACUAAAUAAAGAGUCUUGUGCUAUUAAGUCCGUACAAGCCUUUUUCACUCUCUCGUUAAUAAGAGCUUUUUGAGCUUUGUUUUUUUCCUCCAAGUCUUGAGUUACAUUUUCAAUUUGCCUAAUUUGACCAUCCGUUAAAGCAAGUGUUUUACAUAAUGAUUCAAACGCUUCCUUCCAUUGGGGAGCUACUGAUAAAAUAUCAUGUAGAGAUGGUCGUCCAGGAAGAAAUUUUUUGUUGUCUCUUGAAACUGCUUGCGAAACAGAUAAUUGAUUGCUUAACGGAUUUGAAAAAUUCAACGUAUUUGUUGCAUUUGACAAUAGGUUAGUAUUAUUACUAUUUGUUUUCGAAAAUCCUCCGGGUGUCAGCAUAAAAUUUGUAUUUCCAAACAUUUUUUUUUAGAAAUAAACAAAUCUUUAUUGUAAGUGGGAAAGUCAACUUUUUAAAAAAACUUCCUGGAAGAUAUCAUUGUUUACGUUGAAACAAAAAAUCAAAUACUUUUUUUCCUUUUUAUUCUCGUUUUAUGUCUCUAUGUUCCCUGUUAUAUUUUUUUCUUUUUUUUCUUCUUGUAAUACUUAGAACGUUAGGCAGUAAAUGACAAAACAAUAAUUGUGUAAAGGUGGUUCUCUUCUUCAGAACCAGGCGUGAGUAUAAAGAUCAGAUAAAUAUUUUCUGUAAUUUUUUCAACUUUAGUAUAAAUAAACAGACAGCUCUUUGUUUAUUUUGUGCUUAAUAAAAAAAAGAAUCGCAUUUCAUUCACGAUUGACACAUUUUUUUUUUUAAAUAUUUUUUAGUGAGUAUGACAAUUUUAUCAUUGACUCAACGUCAAAUAAGUGCUAAUUUCAUUUUUCUAAAACUCAUUCUUUUUGAAUUCAUCGACAUUAUUAUUUUCAAUACAUUGCAUUUUAGAAUGAAUUUAAUUUAAAAUGGUAUCAAUCAACGAUUUCGAGAAGUUUCGUGAUGACAUUUUUUUAGCCCGGCAUGUGCUGAAUGAGUUGAAUGUCAUGGAGUGUAUGUAGAUUGAAUUUCUAUUCUUCUCAAUUCUUUGAUACAUCUUCGUUAAAUCAAAAGCAAAGAAGAGGUUCAAAAUUAACCAAUACUGAAGAAGGUAUUCUAUAUCGUUUGAUGUAUGUUAAGGAUACUAUUACUGAUAAAAUGACUUCUGGAGAUGUACAUUGGAAUUCAACAAAUCAAUUAAGUUUAUUUAUUAUUCAAAAAUUUGUGCGUGAUCCAAAGCAAACUGAAACACCUCUUGAGUGUUUUUAUAUUUUAGGGGGAACUAUUUACAAAUCACCCUUUCUAGGUACACUUGUACGCCGCUGCUGUUUUGAAGCCAUUGAAAAAUUGGAUGUCAUAUUAAAUUCAGUAACAAAUAGAGCGUCGUGGUCACUUAUUGAAGGUUAUUCUUGGGAGACACCUAGUGCAUCCACCGAAUCAUCUACCAAAGAACUACAUGCUUCACCGCAAAGUGUUUCUUUUCCACACAGUACAGUGGCAGAAGAGACAAAUAUUGAGAAUCUGUAUGCAAAAAAAUCAUGUGAUGAAUUAGCUUAUAUUCUUGAAACGUCGUUCCGUACUGUUCAUCAAGCUGCCGCCAAAUUGAAAAACGAUAGGGAACAGAAUCGGAUAAACGAAACGAAUGAGACGAAAAACACAUAAUGUUUUUUUUUUUUUUGUGUGUGAUAUAGAAACGUUUUAUAACAACAUUAGCAUCAACGGAUGUAGAACGUUUUCUUCAUUCUUCCCGUGUAAAAUUUUUAUUACCAAAAAAAUAGACGUUUUUUUAUUUUUUAUUGAACAAUGAUAGUUGUUUUUAAAAUUUGUGUUAGCUAAAGUAAUCCAACAGAUAAAAAGAGAUGCAUUGAAACUGUGGUGUAAGUUUAAUGAGACUUAUAGAAGAC